GGGCCAUCAGACUUCUUCCUCUGAUGCAGAGCUCCGCAGAGGUGCUGCAUGGAACAGCCAAUCCCAGGUGGACCUGUGGUCCAGAAAGCGCAGAGCUGUGCAUGGUGGCCCCAAGCCUGCCAAGGUAGGAAACUCACUGCGGAAACAAGAUUUUGUGAGAUGCUUUGAGAGCUUUUCCUGUGAGAACAGCACCUCCCUCUGCUUUCCUGGCCAAAGCCAUCCCCAGAGGGGACACUUUUCUUCAGGUGUCUCCAGACAUGAGCAGCUUCUCUAUGAUAGAGGCUUGGGCAGCAAUCGUCAAGGAAAUAAAAAGUUCACCUUGGGGCCAGCCAGGCAGAAACAUCAGCACUUUCUCCUCUACCUGGCUGCAAGAUGAGAGCUACAGAACCUCGGGACUGAUUUUAGAGCCACUCCCUGGACAUCUAAAAGAAAACACAACUGCUCUUGUUCUGCUGGUGAGAGCAUUGCUCCGAGGAGGUGCCCGCUGCCCCCCGUGCCGCAGCUCACCCCACUGUGUGCGGAG